ACACUCCUACGGGAGGCAGCAGUGGGGAAUUUUGGACAAUGGGCGAAAGCCUGAUCCAGCAAUGCCGCGUGAGUGAAGAAGGCCUUCGGGUUGUAAAGCUCUUUUGUCAGGGAAGAAACGGUGAGAGCUAAUAUCUCUUGCUAAUGACGGUACCUGAAGAAUAAGCACCGGCUAACUACGUGCCAGCAGCCGCGGUAAUACGUAGGGUGCAAGCGUUAAUCGGAAUUACUGGGCGUAAAGCGUGCGCAGGCGGUUUUGUAAGUCUGAUGUGAAAUCCCCGGGCUCAACCUGGGAAUUGCAUUGGAGACUGCAAGGCUAGAAUCUGGCAGAGGGGGGUAGAAUUCCACGUGUAGCAGUGAAAUGCGUAGAUAUGUGGAGGAACACCGAUGGCGAAGGCAGCCCCCUGGGUCAAGAUUGACGCUCAUGCACGAAAGCGUGGGGAGCAAACAGGACUAGAUACCCCGGUAGUCCCA
rnacentral:rRNA from 1 species